UCCCUCUCAGGGUCACACCUGCAGAGUUUCCAGUACUCUACCAGUUUUGACUUUGGGAGGGAGAGUCAAGCAGAGGCAUACCUAUUCCAUUCCUAGCUUCAACAGUGGCUGAGCCAGUGGAAGGCAAUCUGCUACAAGU
rfam:Ornithorhynchus anatinus chromosome 2, whole genome shotgun sequence.